rnacentral:tRNA from 1 species
GAGAGAGACAUGAUCGUAACGACAACUGCUAAUUUUCGCCUUCUUGGUUUAACUCCAGGACUCCCUUA